AAGUCGUAACAAGGUAACCGUAGGUGAACCUGCGGUUGGAUCAUUAGAGUAGUUUGAAAAGGGAAGAAUUUGUAACAGUUUUUAAUUGGUGCAGCUUCUUUCCUUUUUCUAAACAUAUUCCCCUAAUUGUACAUGUUUCCUGUUUAUUAGACAGCCCUGCAUUUUUUGUUGGGCUGGCUAAUUGUGACUAACGCUUAUUAUCUUGUGUAUAUUUUUGCUUGCAAUGUUUCCAUUCAAUAUUGUUGUUUGGUUUCUUGCAUUUUUUAUUAAUGAAUACAACUUUAGACAAUGGAUCUCUUGGCUCUC
rnacentral:misc_RNA from 1 species